AUGCUUGUCUCAAGAUUAAGCCAUGCAUGUCUCAGUACAAGCCAAAUUAAGGUGAAACCGCGAAAGGCUCAUUAAAUCAGUUAUGGUUCCUUAGAUCGUACCCACAUUUACUUGGAUAACUGUGGUAAUUCUAGAGCUAAUACAUGCAAACAGAGCUCCGACCGGAGACGGAAGGAGCGCUUUUAUUAGAUCAAAACCAAUCGGUGGCGGGUCUCCCGUCACCGUACACCUUGGUGACUCUGAAUAACUUAUUGCUGAUCGCACGGUCUCGCACCGGCGACGCAUCUUUCAAAUGUCUGCCUUAUCAACUGUCGAUGGUAGGUUCUGCGCCUACCAUGGUUGUAACGGGUAACG
rnacentral:rRNA from 1 species